GAUGAAGAACGCAGCGAAAUGCGAUACGUAAUGUGAAUUGCAGAUCUCUCAGUGAACCAUCGAAUCUUUGAACGCACAUUGCGCCCCCUGGUAUUCCGGGGGGCAUGCCUGUUCGAGCGUCAUUUCAACCUUCAAGCUCUGCUUGGUAUUGGGCCUGCGCUGGUCUCCCAGCGGGCCUCAAAAUCAGUGGCGGUGCCAUCUGGCUUCAAGCGUAGUAACACAUCUCGCUUCUGGAGACCCAGGUGUUUGCCUGCCAGCAACCCCAUCUUCUCAGGUUGACCUCGGAUCAGGUAGGGCUACCCGCUGAACUUAAGCAUAUCAAUAAGCGGAGGA
rnacentral:misc_RNA from 1 species